AUAGGUGUCUCUUCAGAUCAUAUUAAUCUUUUGCCUUUUAUAAAAGAUUUCUGUGGAGUGGAACAAUUCAGACUCUUGACCCAAUUUCUGAGGCCUUAUUUCAGCAAGGCU